AUUGAACGCUGGCGGCAUGCUUUACACAUGCAAGUCGAACGGCAGCACGGACUUCGGUCUGGUGGCGAGUGGCGAACGGGUGAGUAAUACAUCGGAACGUGCCCAGUUGUGGGGGAUAACUACUCGAAAGAGUAGCUAAUACCGCAUGAGAACUGAGGUUGAAAGCAGGGGAUCGUAAGACCUUGCGCAACUGGAGCGGCCGAUGGCAGAUUAGGUAGUUGGUGGGAUAAAAGCUUACCAAGCCGACGAUCUGUAGCUGGUCUGAGAGAACGACCAGCCACACUGGGACUGAGACACGGCCCAGACUCCUACGGGAGGCAGCAGUGGGGAAUUUUGGACAAUGGGCGAAAGCCUGAUCCAGCAAUGCCGCGUGCAGGAUGAAGGCCUUCGGGUUGUAAACUGCUUUUGUACGGAACGAAAAGCUUCGGGUUAAUACCCUGGAGUCAUGACGGUACCGUAAGAAUAAGCACCGGCUAACUACGUGCCAGCCGCCGCGGUAAGAC
rnacentral:rRNA from 1 species